rnacentral:pre_miRNA from 1 species
GUGACAGAAGAGAGUGAGCACAAAUGGUGUUUUCUUGCAUGAUGGGUAUGCUUGAAGCUAUGUGUGCUCACUCUCUAUCUGUCAC